CAGAGGAGCCUGGGCUUGCAAAGAGUUGGACAUGACUGAGGUGACUAAACCACCACCAGUAUUUAGAUGAUUUUCAAAGUUGUGGGCUUGGAUGAUAACAUCAAGGGAGAAAGUGUAGCCAGAGGAAAGAAGAGGAAUCAGGACUGAAUGGUUUGGCUUCUGAUUUGCUCUGUUCUGGACUACGGAGACUUUGUGUUUCCACUGGCAGUUCCUGCACUGUUGUGUCAUUAUGAGAAGAGACAUGAGAGAUGAUUGCUGUCUCAGCCAAAUGAGAACACAGCAAGAAGGCAGCUGUCUGCAAACCAAGAAGAGAGUCCUCACCAGGAACUGGAUUGACCAGUGCCUUGGUCUGAUUCUUCCUAGCCUCCAGAAAAGCAAAGUGGGAAGUAGGAAACAUGAGACAAGGAAGGGAGCAAAGUCAGGAAAAGUGGGCCAAUUACCAUGCUAGAAGCACAAGCUGGAAUCAAGAUUGC